AACGAACGCUGGCGGCAGGCUUAAUACAUGCAAGUCGAGGGGUAACAGGUCUGUAGCAAUACAGAUGCUGACGACCGGCAAACGGGUGCGGAACACGUACAGAACCUUCCUUCGAGUGGGAGAUAGCCCAGGGAAACUUGGAGUAAUAUCCCAUAGGAUCAUAGAGUGGCAUCACUUAGUGAUUAAAGAUUUAUCGCUUGAAGAUGGCUGUGCGGCUGAUUAGGUAGUUGGUGUAGGUAACGGCUCACCAAGCCUUCGAUCAGUAACUGGUGUGAGAGCACGACCAGUAACACGGGUGCUGAGACACGGGCCCGACUCCUACGGGAGGCAGCAGUAAGGGAUAUUGGGCAAUGGAGGCAACUCUGACCCAGCCAUGCCGCGUGGAGGAUGAAGGUCCUCUGGAUUGUAAACUUCUUUUAUUUGGGAAGAAAUGCCGAUUUUCUAAUUGGUUUGACGGUACCAGAUGAAUAAGCACCGGCUAACUCCGUGCCAGCCGCCGCCGUAAUAC
rnacentral:rRNA from 1 species